AAUUGAUACCCUAAUUUCACAAAACGCACAAUGCAUACGUUCAGAGAAAAGGAAAGAAACGACGAGAAGCAGAGGGGAAACGGGAAGAAGAAGAGAAGAGGAGGGGAAGGGAGUUGUCACGCCUUGCCCGCCCGUCGCCGCGCCUUGCCCGCCCGUCGCCGCUCCUUCGUGGAGUCCUCCUUGGUCCCGGUUGAACAGGGAUGAAGGAGAGGCGUCGAGAGAGAGACGCGAUGGAGGUCAGAAGGAGGAGCUGCCAUCACUGCCGUCCCCCGUCCAUGGAACCGCCUUCGCGUCGCCGUUGUGCUUCGAGGUCAUCGCUCUGUGUCACUGAGAGAAGCCCGAGAUGGAGAUGAGGGAGACGCGAGCCAAGGACUGCGGCGAGGAGGAAAAGCCGCCGUCACCUUCACUGGAGCCGCGAUCGCUGUCACCGUUCUGCCUUUCCCUGAGCCGCUAAUACCACCAUAUUCUUCCAAUUCCAUUCCUGUUCCGUGAGAGUUGGCUACUGCAGUUUCUGUUUUGGGGUUUUCCGCCAUUGAAGCUACCAUCAACAGCGCCGCUCUCCAUUUUGAUUCCAAUUCCGUAAUUCGAAAACCUGUAAUGUUCUCUACCCUUAAUUUUGCUGCAUUUUGUUUAUCUCUGCAUUCUUAUUUUGGUUCCAUUAGUAAGCACCUCUGUCUUAGUAUCGCUGAGUUCUGCUUAAAUGGUUGAAAUUGUCACUGCUGCGGGCAUAAUCAAAGUUAGUGCCGUUGUCGCCGUUCCGGAUUGCGUUAAAAUUGACGCUGUUGCUGUUCCAGUUGAUGAGGCUGCCACUGUCCUUGGUUGCAGUAGGAUUAUCACUGCUGAAAUUAGAAACAAAAUAGGGGCUGUCUUGUUCAAAUUAUGCGAUUGCGACAUCGAGUAAAACAAUAUUUUCAAGGCUCGUGAGGAGAAGUACCAAUCAAGAAUAAAUGCACUUGAAACUCUUGCGGCUGGGGCCAUUGAAGAGAAUAAGGUAGUUUUUUUGUUGAUUGAGCUGAGGGUGUGGAACUUUGCUAUAGGGAAUAGAAAUGCAUAUGAGUUCUGUUGCUGAGAAGGUAUUUCUUUAUAGAUCCUCAUUUUUGUUAGAAGUUAAAACUUGAAGUUGUUAUUUUCAGCAUGAUUAAGUAGCUCAAAUUAAUUGGACUGUCAGCUCAUGUUGCUUAUUGUACACAAAGCUAGUUUUUAUGUAAAUUUGUUUGAAACUAUGCAGCAUCGUUACCUUUGUAUAUAAUAAAGUUCCUACAAGUUAAAACUUGAAGUUGUUAUUUUCAGCAUUGUUACCAUUGUCAUCGCCAGGUUACUUGUUUUUUUUACUUGUUCUGAUUAGUAAUUUAGGAUUGUUGAAACUUCAAAUUGUUACUUGUAUUUGGUUUUGAUUUAUUCUUAAUUUAGGUGAUAUUUGUCAAUGAUAUUUGCCUCUUUGUUAAACAACACCAUUAUACUUUAUCAUAAAUCAUGUUCAUAUACAAUACUUCUACAAUUUAUGCAGUUCUGUGAAUAUAAUCUUAGUGUUAUUAACUGAUUUUUCUGUUGAAUAUUCCAAAAAAUCCAAGUUAAGUCUUCCUCUCAUGAAAAUCCUUAAGGAAAAUUUUAUGGGGACUCAUACUCCUGAACUAGAAUUAAUGAAAAUUUUAUGCUGCUCUUCUUCUCUCCAUUCUCAUCACUCUUUUCUAAAUUUACAUACUUUAAUUUGUUCUUUGAUCCUAUCAUGUUCAUAUGCUACAGAGAAUUGAUUAAUUAAUUAAUUGUGUAUAGUUAAUAUUGAUCUUCUUGUUAAUGAAGAGUAGAUUAAUUGAUCAUUUCUACCAUUGACAUUUUUCUUGGUUUUGUAGAUCUGUGAUCUGGUUGCUGUUGCUAGGUUUUUAAAUGCAACUCUCAUAAUUCCUGAAAUUCAAGAAAGUACUCGCUCAAAAGGAAUUAGCUCUAAGUUCAAUAGCUUUUCCUAUAUCUAUAAUGUUGAUCAGUUCAUAGCCUAAAGCAAUCUAAGUUCUGCCAGAAGGUCUGAUGGAAAGGAGAAGAAAAAAUGAAAUUCCUUCAUUUAAGACUACAAGUUCUGCUUCUCCAGACUUUUACCUGGAUCAAAUUUUACCAAAGUUAAAGCAAUCAAAGGUUAUGGGAUUAAUUAUUACAGAUGGUGGGGCUCUGCAGGUAUUUUCUGGCUGAAAUUGAGGGAUCUGAGCAAAAAUCUGAUUCAGAGGCUGAAAAGGACUGCAGAUGCUAUUGGAUUCUGACCUCCCUGCACUCGAAGUGAAUUUUCAGGAGCUACAGAAGUCCAAUUGGCGUGCUCUUAAUUGCGUUGGAAAGUAGACAUUCUGGGCUUUCCAGCAAUAUAUAAUAGUCCAUUCUUUGCCCGAGAUUUGAUGGCCCAAAUAGGCGUUCCAAGUCAGCUCAAGAAUUCUGGCGUAAAACGCCGGAACUGGCACAAGAAUGGGAGUUAAACGCCCAAACUGGCACAAAAGCUGGCGUUUAACUCCAAGAAAAGUCUCUACACAUGAAAGCUUCAAUGCUCAGCCCAAGCACACACCAAGUGGGCCCGGAAGUGGAUUUUUAUGUCAUUUACUCAUUUCUGUAAACCCUAGGCUACUAGUUCUCUAAAAAUAGGACCUUUUGCUAUUGUAUUUCAUAUCUUUUGAUCAUUUUCGAUCUUAGGAUCAUCUUUGGACGUCUAGUUCUUAGAUCAUUGGCAGGCUGGCCAUUCGGCCAUGCCUAGACCUUGUUCUUAUGUAUUUUCAAUGGUGGAGUUUCUACACACCAUAGAUUAAGGUGUGGAGCUCUGCUGUACCUCAAGUAUCAAUGCAAUUACUAUUGUUCUUCUAUUCAAUUCGGCUUAUUCUUGUUCUAAGAUAUCACUUGUUCCUCAACUUGAUGAAUGUGAUGAUCCGUGACAUUCAUCAUCAUUCUCACCUAUGAACGUGUGCCUGACAACCACCUCCGUUCUACCUUAGAUUGAGUGGAUAUCUCUUGGAUCCCUUAAUUGGAAUCUUCGUGGUAUAAGCUAGAAUUGAUGGCGGCAUUCAAGAGAAUCCGAAAGGUCUAAACCUUGUCUGUGGUAUUCUGAGUAGGAUUCAAGGAUUGAAUGACUGUGACGAGCUUCAAACUCCUGAAGGCUGGGCGUUAGUGACAGACGCAAAAGAAUCCCUGGAUUCUAUUCCAACCUGAUUGAGAACCGACAGAUGAUUAGCCGUGCUGUGACAGAGCGCGUUGAACAUUUUCACUGAGAGGACGGGACUGUAGCCACUGACAACGGUGAUGCCUAACAUACAGCUUACCAUGGAAAGGAGUAAGAAGGAUUGGAUGAAGACAGUAGGAAAGCAGAGAGACGGAAGGGACAAAGCAUCUCCAUACGCUUAUCUGAAAUUGAUGAGCGGAUAAUUUAUACACUUUUUGGCAUUAUUUUUAGUAUGUUUUUAGUAUGAUCUAGUUAGUUUUUAGUAUAUUUUUAUUAGUUUUUAGUUAAAAUUCACUUUUCUGGACUUUACUAUGAGUUUGUGUGUUUUUCUGUGAUUUCAGGUAUUUUCUGGCUGAAAUUGAGGGAUCUGAGCAAAAAUCUGAUUCAGAGACUGAAAAGGACUGCAGAUGCUGUUGGAUUCUGACCUCCCUGCACUCGAAGUGGAUUUUCUGGAGCUACAGAAGCCCAAUUGGCGCGCUCUCAACGGCGUUGGAAAGUAGACAUCCUGGGCUUUCCAGCAAUAUAUAAUAGUCCAUACUUUG